rnacentral:rRNA from 1 species
UACAGAGGUCCCAAGCGUUGUUCGGAUUCACUGGGCGUAAAGGGCGCGUAGGCGGCUGUUCAAGUCGGGGGUGAAAGCCUGUGUCUCAACCACAGAAUUGCCUUCGAUACUGGACGGCUGGAGACCGGAAGAGGUCAGUGGAACUGCGAGUGUAGAGGUGAAAUUCGUAGAUAUUCGCAAGAACACCAGUGGCGAAGGCGGCUGACUGGUCCGGUUCUGACGCUGAGGCGCGAAAGCGUGGGGAGCAAACAGG